rnacentral:lncRNA from 1 species
UAAUUUUACCUUCGACACACAGUCCCCACUUAUCGGAGUCACCACGUGACAUCACAUGUAUCAUCACACGCGUGUCACUGGAAUCACUACGUGCUGCUACACGCACCAUUGUUGGGAUCGCCACAUGCCGCCACACUUUGGCUAAAACUUGUCGCAGACAACAAUGAGCUCAGAUCUAGAAUAAAUCUACACCAAAAUCAUUGCAUGUGCGGUUCCUUCUCUCCCCGAACAAGUUCAACGCUCUCGGGUUCUCAUUAUGUCAAACUGCCGCAUCAAUUUUCUUUUUCCAUAGCACGUAAGUUUCCUCCUUCAAUCGUUUGUGUAUACAUGUGUCCUCACACAGAUCUGAUAGGAAGAAGCGUCGCAGAUCCAAUGUCCCUCCAUCGUGCUACGCUUCUUUAUUCUCUUUCUUCCUUUUAUUCUUCUUCCUUCUUCUUCUAACUCUCCCUCUCUCCUUCACUCCCCCAUCCUUUUUGCUAGGGCUCUUUUCUUUUUUUUUCCUAGCUUGGGCCUAGGUUUUCUCUUCUCCCUUAGGCCUUGCUAUUAUAUAUUAUCCAU